rnacentral:snRNA from 1 species
GGAUGUGAGGCGAUCUGGCUGCGACAUCUGUCACCCCAUUGAUCACCAGGGUUGAUUCGGCUCAUCUGGCGGGCUGGGCAGGUGUUCCCUUCCUCCCUCAAUGCUCCAUGUGCAUCCCUCCAGAAGCUGCAUGCUCCAUCGAAGAGAACAACCACCCCCAAUAGAGGAGGACUGUUCCUUGGUCAAGGGUAUAUAAGUAGCUGCACUCGCCUGCUAGAACCUCCAAACAAGCUCUCAAGGUCCCUUGUAGUUGCAUAUUUACUCAUGGAUUGUUUGAUUGAUGUUUAUCCUCUAUUAAACUGUAAGUUCCAU